UUCACAAACAAACGCCUUGAAAUAUUUACAAAAACAUAUCAUGUUUACUGAAGCUCUACUGUACAUCAGCACAAGCGUUAAUGGGCGUACCUUUGCGAUGUUAUGAGAUUCUCAACCCACAACCACUGCACAAGAAGCACACUGUGUUCCAAGACUCACCGUCACAGACGGGACAGCAUUGAUCUUCAGGCUGAAUCGUGUGAGGACACGAGAGGACGGGACAGAUCACCGGAUCACAGAUCACUGUUUUCUUCUGCACGAGAGAUAAAAAGAGUUGACAGCUCCAUGAACCAAGAUCAAAGUGUGUCGCAACUCUGUUUUUCAACGGCUCUGGGUUCGUUUACCUGUUGACCGUAGAAGCCGGU